AACCCAUGGUGAGGGCACCUUCUUAGCAAGUCCUUGUAUCUCUCCCAUGCAUCGUAAAGUGUUUCUAAAUCCAUCUACACAAAAGAAAAGAUAUCACUACGUAAUUU
rnacentral:snoRNA from 1 species